UACCCUCGGGAGGGGGAUAACCCCGGGAAACUGGGGCUAAUCCCCCAUAGGCCUGGGGUACUGGAAGGUCCCCAGGCCGAAAGGGGCUCUGCCCGCCCGAGGAUGGGCCGGCGGCCGAUUAGGUAGUUGGUGGGGUAACGGCCCACCAAGCCGAAGAUCGGUACGGGCCAUGAGAGUGGGAGCCCGGAGAUGGACACUGAGACACGGGUCCAGGCCCUACGGGGCGCAGCAGGCGCGAAACCUCCGCAAUGCGGGCAACCGCGACGGGGGGACCCCCAGUGCCGUGGCAACGCCACGGCUUUUCCGGAGUGUAAAAAGCUCCGGGAAUAAGGGCUGGGCAAGGCCGGUGGCAGCCGCCGCGGUAAUACCGGCGGCCCAAGUGGUGGCCGCUAUUAUUGGGCCUAAAGCGUCCGUAGCCGGGCCCGUAAGUCCCUGGCGAAAUCCCACGGCUCAACCGUGGGGCUUGCUGGGGAUACUGCGGGCCUUGGGACCGGGAGAGGCGGGGGGUACCCCUGGGGUAGGGGUGAAAUCCUAUAA
rnacentral:rRNA from 1 species